CGCCGCGGCCGUUGGGGCGGGUGGGGCGCGAGGCUCCCCUGAGGGAGCGGGCGUUGGGGCGGGUGCCCCUCGGCGUUAUCGGUACCCGGGUUGGUCCCGUAGCGAGGCGUCACGUUCUCACUGCGGGGAGAAAAGGGGAAAAAACACAGCGCUCUGCCAAGGAGACGAAGGUCGCAAAGCCAGGUGCUCGGAAAGAGCUCGGCAGCCUGAGGGUUUUCUGUGUAAACUGGACGCUGUAAAAGUCUGACAUACCCCUCAGAGAAACCCUGUGAGCAGCAGGACACAGAUAAAGCACAAUCAUAUAUACGUGCUCGCCUUCACCAACGUGCAAAAGCACUUCUCUGACAGUUUCCGUCUGACCACCCGUGGCAAAUGCGCACCUGGUACUCCUCUUCACCUCCUCCUCCAACCAAGGCUGAUUUCCAGCCCUCAGCUUCCACUGUACCACCUGUACAGGUCCGGCUCCUGUUACUUAUGCACCUGAACUGGAUAUUUCUUCCCUCCAUGUCUUCACAGCACCGUCAUCCUUUCCUAGGGAGAUUUUUCAGUUGUUUAUGCUAUGAUGACUCAUCUAUAAGCUCAGUUUUAUGACGAACAACAGGAGGAAGAGAUAAGAGAACAGUGGCCAAUAUACGGCAAUCAAAAGGAUGGAAGAUAAACACAGCAGCCCAAGGGACAGAUGGAGAAAGGGACAAACAUGAAGCAGAAAUGGCCAACAGUAGUUCCACGGACACGGAUGCUGCCGCGGCUGGGCCUGGAUGAGGCGCAGAUGCAUGCUAAGGUGACCUGGUGACAGGCGGCCCCGCUGACUUUGCAGCCUCCCACCGCAGGAUUCAGGUUACGCUGCAGCCACAGCAGGACAGCCCCAGAGGAGGAACCUCACGUGAACUGCUUAUGGGAUUCAUACCGUUCGUCCUUGGCUUAGGCACAACUAUGAGGAACGAUUAUUUAAAAUUGACUUUAAUAGUGACCAGCUGCACCAGAAAACUGUUCUCGGAUCCCAAGUUCUAACACCCCGGAAAUGCCAAAGAGAUUGGGCACUCCCUUGCCUCGGACACUAGUAAUCGCUGAGGUGAAGUACAAGUGCUGCUGCUUGACACGACAUGUUCUUGCUAACAUGUAAUUUCCUGAUUAGAGGUUGGAAGGAAGAUGGCUGAAACAACAAGCAGAAGUCUCUCAACAAUUUUACGUCUCACAGGUUCCUUUCUGCCAGCUUACCACUCAGCAAAGAAUAAUUGCUGCAGCAAGAUUUGACAGAGGAGAUGGCCCUCAGAAUCCCUUAUAAAUAUCUAUGCAACAGAAGCUCUGUUCUAGUGCUGGUUUUUCAGUAUGUUGCCUGAGAAAAUAGAUCUAGGAAAUCAGUAAUAUCUCAAUACCUCAUCGACUCCCAGUCUACGCGAGCAGUAACAAGGCACAGGUUUGCUCUUCUAAAAAUAGUAACUAGCUACACAAAGUCACUGUGUCUGGAAUUGGAUACUCAGACAGAUACUCAGACACGUACGCACAACGUUUCUCAGGCAAGAUUCUAGAGCCUUAGCUGCUUCAUCUUCAAAAGAGAGAUGAGAAUAUUUACCAUACAAAGAUCCCACCCUACCCAAAAAUUAGUAACUAUCCGUGGGUCGGCGUUGUGAAUGGAAUAUUCAGCCGCUUCGGGAUACAAGCAAGUGCCCGCUUCUUAAAAUGAAAUUUUGCAGUUGCUCUGUAGAGCAACACAGGUAAAGACUUUUAAAAAAAAUCUCUCUUUACAGCUCUGAUUCACUAACUUUAGCAUACACCAGACUACUUCCUUUCUAAACAAAAUAGUGUAAAUAUUCUACAGAAGUAGAUUUCUUUUUAAAGCUGUAGGUAUUUUAAUUAUUACCUCAUAAUUAUUUUGUUUAUGUAAACAGUAAUAAUAACAACAAAUACACUUACUCAUACUUUUUAUGAGCUACAAUUACAUUGACCAGGUUGGACCAAGUAUUGUUUUAAAAUGUGUUAUUUUUAAUGGAUUGUUUUGCAGACAAGCACAAGGAACCAUUCACACAUGAAUUAAAAUCCUGUUUGUAUAUAGAGCUUUCACAGAAGUCAACCAUUUGAAGAGCUGCACCACCUCUCAAGUUGCUUUGUUAAAAAGGCAAUUAAGAUGCAUCCAUACCUCAAUGGAGCCACCAAGGAAAAAGGCGGAAUACAAUUCAGGAAUCAGCUAAUACCUUCCAAGGUACUACAAAAACCUCCCCACACACUAGCAGCCAAAAUACUUGUAAACUCAGUUUGACUCAUAUUUUAGAUGCAAGUAGGUGCACAUUUGUUUUCUCAAAAAAGAAGUCAAAUACUGGCAUGCAGUAAAGGUUCCACGUUUAAGUCAAGCUUAAAACUAUCAUUGGUUUUCACACAUGCUACAGCCACACUGAAGUCUUCCUUUCCAAAGAAAGAAUUUCAGUGAAGUUUCUCCUUCGUCAUAGGCUUGUCAAUUGCUUCCUUUUUUUGUUUGUUUUUAAAAACUGUGCAUACCAGAUGCAUUUGCUGCUUUCCUAUCGAAACAGAAAUUCCCAUUGCUUUGUGUGUGUCCCUUCCAAUCGUAAUUGAAUCAUUCACGAGGAAAGAGGAAAUGUCAUUGCUCUGUACUUACAGGAUAGCAGUAAAUAAAUUUGAUUGCC